rnacentral:rRNA from 1 species
GGGGAAUCUUGGACAAUGGGCGCAAGCCUGAUCCAGCCAUGCCGCGUGAGUGAAGAAGGUCUUCGGAUUGUAAAGCUCUUUUGCCAGGGACGAUAAUGACGGUACCUGGAGAAUAAGCCCCGGCAAACUUCGUGCCAGCAGCCGCGGUAAUACGAAGGGGGCUAGCGUUGUUCGGAAUUACUGGGCGUAAAGCGCACGUAGGCGGGUCGUUAAGUCAGGGGUGAAAUCCCGGAGCUCAACUCCGGAACUGCCUUUGAUACUGGCGAUCUUGAGAUCGGAAGAGGUGAGUGGAAUUCCCAGUGUAGAGGUGAAAUUCGUAGAUAUUGGGAAGAACACCAGUGGCGAAGGCGGCUCACUGGUCCGAUACUGACGCUGAGGUGCGAAAGCGUGGGGAGCAAAC